GUUCCAUUAAAAUCAAUGAUUAGAACUAAUUGGCUGCGCAUGCCAAUAGCCAUGGAUAAGAAUAACAAGCUUCAAGGGGAUUAAAAGAUUCAAGAUUUCAUCAAAGAGGUCUUCGAAACCUCUGGGGUCAAUUCUUAUAUAGCUAACCAUAACGGAAAGCACAGUUGAAAUUUCAUAUUGGAGUGGAACAGAAACAGGUAUUGGAUAAAAA
rnacentral:misc_RNA from 1 species